GACGAACGCUGGCGGCGUGCCUAAUACAUGCAAGUAGGACGCAGUUGCGAACGGGUGAGUAACGCGUAGGUAACUGCCUAUUAUAGGGGGAUAACUAUUGGAAACGAUAGCUAAUACCGCAUACUAGUAGCUGGACCUGCGUUGUCUUAGCUAGUAGGUAGGGUAAUGGCCUACCUAGGCGCCGAGACAUGGCCGACCUGAGAGGGGGAUCGGCCACGCUGGGACUGAGAAGCGGCCCAGACGCCUACGGGAGGCAGCAGUAGGGAAUCUUCGGCAAUGGGGGGAGACCUGACCAGGCAACGACGCGAGAAUGAAGAAGGUUUGCGGAUCGUAAAGCUCUGUUGUUAAGGAAGCGGUACUUAACCAGAAAGGGACGGCUAACUACGUGCCAGCAGCCGCGGUAAUAC
rnacentral:rRNA from 1 species